CCGCUAUGAAAAAACAAUAUUACACAGAUGAAUUGGAAAGCCACUAUUAUUAUGUCAUUUAAUCAAGACAAGAUUCAGAAAUUCAAUUUAGAAAGAUGAACUUGUAGUUUCCAAACAGCCUUCUGGAGGAAGAAAGCCAGUGCCUCUUCGUGGCAGGCAACUAUCUGGUUAUUCUUCUGAUUGCAUCAUAGAGGGAACUCUAUAUAUUCACCCCAGAGUUUUCUAAAAGAGGUUAAGGAACUUCAAGUUCACAAAUCAUCUCCUUACAAGGCAGGUGCCUGGUAUGACAACAGGGUUAUGACCCUCCCUCUCUUCAGAACAGGCGAGGGACUGAGGAUCCAGAGGUGAAGAAGACAUUGCACGAGAGAUAUGCCAUGGAGGAAAUGGUCAUGCAAGGUGCCAAACAUUACAAUAGCGAGUGGGAUGCAUGGGAGUCCAGAAGAGAGCAGACUAAGUUCUACAGGGGCAGCACCUGGCAGGGAGGUUGGAGGAAGAUCGUCCAGGCAGAACACGGCACUCACAUGGGAGCUCUGACCCUUCUAUCUUUGUCCAGUCCAGUCCACCCACCUACUUACUGAAGUGAACUUUGUUAACCAUUGCAAGAGCCUGGCAUUGUGGAAAUGUUUUGAGUGCAUUAUCUCAAAUAAACAACAUGUCAAACCUGUAAGUGAUGAAGGUCAAAUGUGUGGAAGCUGGAAUGCAGCCUCAGAUGAUAAUUUUUCCUUCAAGACAUACAAAACAUCAAUGAGAAAAUUCCAGGAACAUCCCCUGGGUGAGAUGAAGAAGGGCUGCUUGGAGGCGCUAUUUCCCUGCAGAGGCACCUUGAGAUGGGAGUGAGUUUCUUCUACCUGGAAAUGUGAAGGAAGGAGUUUCUCUGAGCUGGGAGUGCCCCUCUAUACCAGGGCCGUGAAUUCCUGCAUUUAUCUACCUUUGUUUUUCUGUGUGGACAUAAGACUGCCUGGCUUCCCUGAGGGGGAAUUCCAGGACAAGAUGGACACUUUGGUGACUGCUGGGGCACUCCAUUGGACAUCAGAGCUUCCUUUAAACUCCUGAGAUGUCAGGGCAUGGGCCAGGUAGCACUCAUUGUACACUCUAUGUUCUAAGCACUAAGAAGCUUUAUACAUUCAUCAGUUCAAUCCAUCCUUAUGAAAAUCCCAUA